AUAAACGAAGUAUAGGAGUAGAAUAGACAUCCAAUUUAUUAUUUUGUCACCCAAAAAUGAAGCUUCAGAAUCAGAAGAAGAAGUGUAAUCGCUACAUUUAAGAACCCCGACUCGGGGCAACCAGGUACUUGAUCAUAGGGAAGGACAGUAACUGCUUUGUUUUGAUUAAAUAGCAAUUCACAGCUGAUCAGUGCUGCCCUCUUAACCAAAAAUAAAGAGAUGAAAUGGCAAGUGAACAAAAAAAAAGUACAUCAGCACAACCACAUGCGAAACGUCACACAUCAGAGCCAAUGUAACUCACUUUACUGUGCUUGCGGUCUUACUCUUUCCGCACAUCCGUACGCCUGGCGCACAUACGGAGCGAUAUUCGACUUGCACUUGUAGCCUCGUAAGAUUCUCGACCACAUUGUUCAGCAUAUUUUCGAACGAUACUUCGAAUGUAUACAGAGUGUCCCAAAAUUAUCGUAUUUACGAGAAAUGAGGGGUUCCUGAGGUUAUUUAUAGCAACCUUUUCCUUAGCGAAAAUGCAAUACGUGGCUUCGUUUACGAGUUAUUAACGAAAAAUAGUGACCAAUGCAAGGCAAGCGCGGGAACUUCGAGAGCCAGUUGCACGUGGCUUUGGCAGAAAGGCGUAACGGAUUCCGGCCGCGUUCGAAGUAAUGAACAAAUGAACUUUCCGAAUGCUUUUUACUACGUAACAGUGAUAUUUUUAAGAAAAAAGCUGUUCACUUUUAUUUUAGAACGUCUGAAGAAUAUUUACUAAUUUUUCGGAGUCGAAAUAAUAAGGAUGCAUUUGCUGCUUGGAAAUGUGGGUCACAAUUCACGACGUCGAUGCACUGACCUUGCACAAUGUUCAGUAAAUACCAGGUCAAUGGCCUUACCGAGGAAAGGAUGCGGUCGGAGGGGCCUCAGGAGACCACCCGGGUGAGAAGCCAGUUGUUGCUAACGAACGGGUCAUAUGUAUUUGUAGGGUACGAACAACGAAAUGUGCAAACCAGGGUCUCAUACUGGUAUUGUAUCACCAAAUUACAAUACGCACGUUUGGUGUUUAUCAUAAAGUAGAUACAGAACUGAAGCUAAUUACAGUUUCAGUGUCCCUAAAUUAAAAAAUUGGAAUACAAAAGAGUUCACAGAAGACGAAUAUGUCUUAACAAAAUUUUUAAAAACGUGACCACGGAUGACAUUUGCAAAAUAAAAAUAUUUUCAUUUUUUGAAAAAAAUAAAAUAUUUUUCUGUUGGAUUAUGUACAACGGACAAAAUGAUUAAAUAUGCAUGUAUGUCGACAGGUAUUA